UAAGAAUUCAAAUAUAUGAACAUAUUUUAACAUAAAAACAAUAUUCAAAGGAUAACGCCAAAUUAAUACCUCACAAGAAAAUAAAAUGCUAGCUUUUGUAUAGAUAGACUGCUGGUUCCACACAGGAUGACAUUUGCGCUACUGGGCCCAUGUAUCAUUUUUCGCAAUUAAUACUGAAGAAUAAUUUCUAGACAUAUGGAUGUGGUAUUGUACAAACAGUGUCAACUGGACCACCUCUCGCGCAUGGUAGAAAAUCCAGUCUCUAUAGGUGCCUGGUAGACACUUAUGUACUUAAAUAUUGAAUUUAGAAAAACUAGGUGCCUUUGCAUGGGUGGUACAAGAUUCUGCAAUAAUUUCAUUUAGGAUCACACAUCAUUUUCUGACCGAGCAGUGGGAGGCGUGUUGGAAACGCACUAGCCAUAUAACACAUGAACAUGCUUGCGUGGUAUAACUACCGAGGAACAAAAAGGAUGAGAUGCCGUCUUGUGUUGUUGUUUUCCUCCAGUAUCUUAUAUCUCAGGGUUCGCAAAUACAUUGAGCAGAGAAGGGAAGAAAUGUAAUCCUAGCAUGACACAUUCAUAAUAAGGAUUACCAUUCUCAAUCUAUGGUAGUUUUGUUUUCAAUCGAGUUCUUAAAAGCAUACACGUAUAUAUAGCUAGGGUGCAUGGAUUUCAUUCUGGAAGUGUGAACUAAUUGCAUGUGAGUUGGUAGUCAUUCAUUUUGCGAAACAUGCAUGUAGCAACAAGAGUUCAUGUGUAAACACCUUGGUGCACGCCAUGUGUGUUCUUUUUGGUGGUCAUUUAAGAAGUGCGAAUAAGACUGCUCUGAAAAGGAAAGAAAUGUUAUAUUCCCUCCGUUCUUAAAUAUAAGUCUUUUAAAAGAUUUCAUUAGGUGUCUACAUACAGAAC
rnacentral:lncRNA from 1 species